UACAGAGGUCUCAAGCGUUGUUCGGAUUCAUUGGGCGUAAAGGGUGCGUAGGUGGCUCGCUAAGUCAGGUGUGAAAUUUCGGAGCUUAACUCCGAAACUGCAUUUGAUACUGGCGUGCUUGAGGACUGGAGAGGAGACUGGAAUUCAUGGUGUAGCAGUGAAAUGCGUAGAGAUCAGCAGGAAUACCCGUGGCGAAGGCGGCCCCCUGGGCCGAACCUGACGCUGAGGCGCGAAGGCUAGGGGAGCGAACGGG
rnacentral:rRNA from 1 species